CUUGGCAAGGGAGGUAAGGGCACUUCGAAAGAUUCCUUCUCAUCAUCUAUACAAGGAAAUGUGUUCUCAUCAAGCUAGGGGACAAGGCAAAUUAGCAACCUUUAUACUCGAUAUAUUAUUCCAAGCAAUAUUAUGAUGAUGAUCAAUACGGAAUCUCUGUAUCAUGAUCAGUGGAUGUAUCGAUCGACCAUCCCAAGAAAAAGGAUAUACGUACUCUGCAUAUGUGCAUGCCAACAACUAUAAAAGGAGACCAUGAGGCAAUGAGUUGAUCAUCAAAGCAAACACACAGAAAUCCCAACUAAAAAUCAAUCAGUGAGACAAUGGCUGGAACCAAUGAUAUUAAAAUUAAAGGGUUUGAUUUGAGCAACAACAAAGGCAACACGUCGGGAUUAACCCACUUCGCCAACAGAGCUGCCGAGGGCGACAAGGGCGACAAUAAAAUCGAGGUUGAGGAUGCUAAAGGGCAAGGGAACACGGGAAACUUGAAAGUACUGACCGACUUCGCCCAACGCGGUAAAGUGGGCCAGUCGGAUCGCCAAGAACUACUCAAACCUCAGGCAUGAAAUUGAAGAAGGCCAGACCACAACAACUUGUCUGCUUGAUAGAUAUAUGUGCUAAAUUAUCUACACAAAAAUAAGAGCUGAUGUUUUAUCUGAGGCUCCUUCCUUGGUUAGGCCUCGUUAUCAUGUGUAAUAUUAAUAUUAUUAUUCUAAUAAAAUAAUGGUAGCUUAUUAUUAAAUAUAUCAGAAUUCUAUACGUAUAACUUUUAGAUUAUUGAUACUGAUGUCAACAAGAGAAAAUGAUUAAAAAUUCCUUUCUCCAAUUCGUGAUGUUAGACAAGAAGCAAACAAAUUUAGGAUAAUGGAUUUUAAAAGUUUGGUGACAAAUGAUGGUAAAGAAGAAUUUAGCCACUACUACAAAAAGUGAAAAAGACGACCAGAAAACAACGACGGUCUAAGUGAAAACCGUCGUGGUUUAUAAAAAGACGACGGUUCUAAAAACACCGUCGUGUAAUACAACCUUAGACAACUAAAAAAUGGAGUUUCAAAUGGCUGUUCAAAAACAACGACGUACAUAAUUAAACAACCGACGUCUAUUUGAAACAGAUUUCCUCAGUGUAAAAUCAAUGCCAACAAAGAACGGCAGAAGUUAUGAAUCGACCGACGUAGAAAGUAAAGACGACGAUUUCAAUAAAAACUGCCGUUUUUACUCAUAAAAUAACACGACGAGGUUUUCGUAUAAGACGCCGUAUAAUUACAAACAAAUCCACGGCUUUAAAAUACAAAAUAUCGCCGUAUUAAAUUAAUUUACAACGACGGAAAAUAUAAAUAUAUCGACGUCAUUCUCGUAUAGUUCUACUACGUUAUCUUUAAAUCGUACAAUAAAAUUUAUCGUCGUAUUUAUUCAUUUUAUACGUCGUACCUUUAAUUUUAACGGUCGUCUUAAUAAGAAUUUUUGUUAACAAUUUUUUUCUUUGAUUUUCUUAUCCUACGUCGGUAGAUCUACUUAAUGACAAGAAUUGAAAUAACCACGACGGUUUAUAUAGAACACCGCCGACAUAAUCAGUUUUGUCUGAGAUCCCAAGGGUUACGAAAUCUUACCAGAUGGAACUCUGUUCCACAUCAUAAUCUUAACAGAUGACACAGAUUUGCAAAUAUUGCGUCGUGUUAGUUUACAAAUUCUAGAACAUUAAUUUCCCUCAUUUUAAAUUUCCUCGGGAAAGAAAAAUCUAUUUAUCACGCUUUGGAAUUGAAAACUAAAACUGAAAGAAUACGGGAAAAAAAACUCCAUUUAUAAUUUAAAAUUAAAAUCCACGUCGGUUGUAGUACACUUAACGACGUUUAACAAAAUAAUCUACGUCGGUAAUUAUAAAUCUACCGCCAUCGUAACUUAAUAUAGACGACGAGAAAAGACGACGGUAGAACAGAAAACCGCCGUUGUUUCAGUUUCUUUAACAUAUCUUUCUGCAGGACUUGUGUAGUUCAAAGCAUUGACAAUGUCUUCAUCAUAUCUCCCAGAAACUACUGAUUCAAUUGCUCAUGCUUUAGAGGCCAUCUGAAGCCAUUUCUAUUCUUUAUCGCAUUCUUGAAACCCAUCUUCUUCUUCUGAAGCUCUACGGAUAAAGGAAGAGGCUAUCACAAUAAAUCCGACGGAUCUUCUUAGGCAAGAAAAUCAAGCAGAGGAUCAGGCACAUCUGAUCUUCAGAUUUCCCUGAGAAGCGAACUUUCCUUCGACAGCGAGUGGAGGCCAGGCUUGCAUCUCUUUUGAUGGAAAGCAAGGAGUAUUCAGAAGCACUAAGUGUCCUAUCAGGCUUGAUCAAGGAAGUGAGAAGGCUAGUUGACAAGCUUCUUCUUGUGGACAUAUAUUUGAUGCGAGUAAGCUCAAUUUCUCUUUGAGAAAACAUCCAAAUUAUUAUCUUUGAGACAUGAGAGACUGAGAGAGGAAGAACUUGGAACCUUAAAUGUAAACCGAAAAUGAAUGAAAGCGACAAAUUUAUAGAAUAAAUUUUUAAAACCAACGGCGGUCCUUACAAACAAACCGCCGUUUAAAUUGUAAAAUCAACGUCGGUAUGAUCGACGUAUAUUACAGAAAUCCACGUCGGUAAAUUAAUAAAAACGACGUGUUAAAUAAUAUACCAUGACGCGAGUUAUUACUUAUGUACUUUAAUUUUUGAGUUUACUACGACGGUACCUACAAACUACUGUCGUAUUUAUUUACCACGUCCGAAGUUAAAUGUACCGUCGUAUUUUGUAAUUUAUACGUCGUAGUUAUAUGUAACCGCCAUAUUAUUUUUUUGAAAUGGUUUUAUAUGUAAGCAACUUUUCGUCUACUUGACUUACACAUUUGUUGUUUUUAUAUUCUUAUUUUAUUUAAAUCUGUCAUCCAAAAAAGAAACUUUACAUAUUGCAGAAUAUUAAUUUCCUUCGUUUUAAAUUUCCUCCGGAAAAAAAACUCUAUUUAUAACGCACUGUAAUUGAAAAAUAAACUGAAAGGUCACGGGAAAAAAAAUUCUAUUCAUAAUUUAAAAAUUAAAAUCCACGUCGGUUAUAUUAAACCUAACGACGUUAAAUGAAAUGAUUCCACGUCGAAUGAAAAAUAUUGCGUCGUUUUAGUUAAAAACGACGUAGUUAAAUGUAACCGCCGUAUUAUUUUUUUGAAAUGGUUUUAUAUGUAAGCAACUUUUCGACUUACACAUGCACUGUUUCCAAACCCGAUUAAAAAUUUCAAUCUCCCAGAGAAACCUUUUCGUCUUUUUUCCUUGUCAGAGCAUUGUCAGAGUUUUUCAUCGUCUUCCUCUCGUCUUCUUCGUCGUCUCUGAACUUAAACAUCGAUCAUCUUCCUCUUGCUUUCAUUGCACGCAAAAGGUAAGCUUUCAUUUUCACUAUUUUGGUUACUGUUUUGCAUGCUCAUACGUUUUUUGUUUGAAAAAUCUUUUUACCUUUUUUCUGGCCAAAAUCAUUUUACUUCUUUCCAAGUUUGAUAAAAUAUACAGACAAAGAGAGAAAGUUUCCAACUUUGAAGACAACUACAUCAACUAAAUAAGACGACGGUAGACCACGACGGUUCGUCAGUUGUUCUAGCGUCGUCUGAAAAUUGACAAAGUUGUUUUUAAAAUAAUAGUCUUUUUUUAUAUGCUUGUUUAAUUGCAGGUUUGAUUUCGCUGAACAAUGGUUUUUGUUUUUCCCUUAUUUGAUAAAAUAUAAAGAAAAAGAAACUAGGGUUGGUAUCUAAUAUAGACGAUAAAAUAUAAAUAAUAGUUUACCACGACGGUGUAUUACUAUUGACGUCGUGUGAACAUAUAUACCACGACGUUAUAUAAAUAAUGGUUUUAAACAUUUAUUACGUCUGAGAUUAUUUCAUUGCGUCGUCUAAAAUCAUAUCAUACGUCGUAUUUUUUUAAUACCGUCGUUUGUGUUCUUAAUGUUUUCCUGAAAUAUUUUCACUUGCAGUUUUGUCUGUUAAAAUGGUUUCUCAACAACAAACUAAGGAUUCUGGCUCCAAGAAGCUUGGAAUGGUAGCUCCUCAAGAUAAGUCUUCGAAGGAGAUGAAGUCUUCGAAGAAGAUGAAGUUUGCUUCAUCAUCUGCUGAGACAGAACAAACCAGCCAGACAACAAUCUCAGAUGAUUCAAAGACUGGUCGAGGUAUGAGCACAAUGCCUCGUGUUGUGAAGAGAAAGCUUCAGAAACUGAGGCCAAUUGUUGAGUACAAUAAAAGGGGGAAAGGUGUUGGCCAAGCACAUAUUGAGAUGCAGUCGUAUAUUGGUGUGUUGGCACGCUCCAGGAUCCCACUUGUGGACAAGAAAUGGUCCCAAAUCCCCAAGGAUAUAAAGGAGCAGAUUUGGGAAGCAGUUGACAUGGCUUUUGUCGUAGGCCAAGGGGGCAAGACCUCUGUUUUAGCUUCUGCUUCCAAGAAAUGGAAGGAUUUCAAGUCUACACUAACGAGGCAUUAUAUCCUUCCAUACACCAAUGACAGGGAGAAAUUAAGCCAACCCCCUGAAACAUAUAAAUUCAUAGAGAAAGCACAAUGGGAUGCCUUUGUAGCUUCAAGGCUAUCCAAAGAUUUUGAGUCUGUGCAUUCUCAACAUGCACAGAUUAGGGAGAAACUCGAGUACAAUCAUCGAUUGUCUCGAAAAGGAUAUGCUGGAUUGGAGGAUCAAUUGGAGGAAACCAUGCCUGGGGUAGAAAUUGAUCGAUCUACCUUAUGGAAGAGAGCUAGACAGGACAAACAUGGUAACAUCCCUGAUCCAAAGGUGGCAGAGAAAGCAAAAUUAAUUGUAAGCCUACUAUCACUCUGUUUUAAAUUUUUAUUAAACUGUGAAUUAUUCUUAUUACGUCGUAUGUUAUAUUUUUCGUCGUGUGAAUGAUAUUACCACGUCGAAAAGUUUUUAAAAACGUCGUUAAAGGUCUAAAUAGGAAUCACUACUAUGUUUUCUGUAAUUACAGCAUAAGACGUCGGUGGUUCAUUUUCGCGUCGUGUGAAUGAUAUUACCACGUCGAAAAUUUUUUAAAAACGUCGUUAACGGUCUAAAUAGGAAUCACUACUCUGUUAUCUUUAAUUAUAGCAUAAGACGUCGGUUGUUUAUUCAUUUCGUCGUUUUAAAUAAAUAACCACGUCGGUAUAACUACCGUCGUGAUAAGUUAUAAUAACGUCGGUUUAUACGUUAUUGCGUCGUGUGAAAUUAUAUAAUACGUCGUUUGUACAUAAAUAACCGUCGUGUGUUUUUUUGUUUAUCUUUUUUUAGGAUGAAUUGCAGAAACAAGUCUCGGAAGGCAAAGUCAGAGUAGAUGGCAGCAAUGAUGUGCUGACCAUGGCUUUGGGCCCCGAGCAUCCAGGCAGACUGAGGGGAGUUGGUGCUGGUGUUUCCCCAAGGCAAUAUUUCAAUUUGCCCAAACCACAGAGGGUGAGCUUUGACGACCGUUUGAAGGACAGUUUAAGAGUUCUCCUUCAAGAAGAGACUAAAAAGAUGGAGGCUAAGGCAAGGGAAGAGGCCUUAAGGAUGGAGGCUAGGACAAAACAAUUGGUAGAGGCUGAGAGGGAGCAUUUCCUGAGUCAGCUUUCCCAAUUAAUUCCCAAUUUUGAUCCAAGCAUGCUUAAACCAAGAAUUAGCCAAAGCCCCAAAAAUCCAAUGUCUGACAAAGCUAGCUGCUCUGGAGGUGAUGUGAGAUCCCUACAUUUGGAGGAUGAUACUGCCAAAAUGGGGAAACAUCAGCCAGAUGAAGAGAAGGAAGAAGAAAAAAGAGAUGAAGAGAAGGAAGAAGAAAAGGAGAAAGAAGAUGAAGAAAAGCAUGACGACAAGGUAUGUUCACAUAACUUUGCCUUUUUUAUUUGUUUUUCAAAAUUUCAGACGUCGAUAUUUUUAUUUAAUCCGUCGUUUGUUUAAAACUUAGACGGCGGAAUUUUUUUAAGACGUAAUAAAAUAUUUAAACGACGGUUUUUGCACCGUCGUUUAAAUGGUUUCAGACGACGCUUUAUUCAUAAAACCGUCGUCUUUAUUGAAUUACCACGACAGUUUUUUCACCGUCGUUUAAAUACUUUUAAGACGACGUUUUAUUACUUAAACCGUCGUCUUUAUUGAAUUACCACGUCAUUUUUUUUAUUUCUUUAAACAGGUUAUUGAAGUUGGUGCUUAUUCAAAAAUGGAGGCGCCAUCUUCUUUAAAAACCCUUUGUCGUUUUGUGGAAACGACACUCCUGCCUGAGGAUAAGACACUCCAAUUUACAAUUGAUAAGGAGGUGUUUGGUGGUGAGCGCGAUACCUUCCUCCUGCCUGAAGAUAUUACACAAUUUGCAGGCAUGGAAGAAAUUGGAGCUACUGUAUUGGCUGUAUAUAUGAGGUUUGUACUUCUAAAAUAAUACCUCGUUGGUUUAUAUAUUGCGUCGUCUUAACUAACUAACCACGUCGUCUUAACUAACUACCGUCGUGAUAAAUAUAUUAUAACGUCCUCAUCUAUUUCAGUACGUCGUGUGAAAUAUUAUAAUACGUCGUUUUUUUAUACAUAACCGUCGUGUUUGUUUGUGCUGACUUGUUUAUAUUAUUUUAUGUAUUUAGGUACUUACACGAUGUUUUGAAACAAGCCAAUAUGUGCAGCAUGGUUGGCUUUAUUGACCCUGCUACAGUUAGUGCCAACUCUGGCACAAUAACUGAAAGAUCACGACUGGUAGCAGCUCGACUUCAGAAGACAGACGGUGAACAGCUUUUCAUGAUGCCUUACAAUCCAGGGUUAGUCUCCUUAGGAUUUUGUUUUUAUGAUUUUCAAUAAAUGACAGCUUAUAAACUAACCACGUCGGUGUUUUAUUUUAUUUAGUCGUUUGAAACUACUAACCACGUCGGUAUUUAUUUGUCGUCGUGAUAAAUAUAUAAUGUUGUCGUUAUCUACUUUAUUUCGUCGUGUGAAAUACUAUAAUACGUCGUUUUUGUAAAUAACCGUCGUUUUUAUAUUAAUUUUGUGCAGCCGUCAUUGGAUCCUGCUGAUUGUAAGAGCAAAGAAGGAGACCGUCUAUUUUCUGGAUCCUCUGCCAGGUCAUCGUGUGGUCGACGAAGAGGCGAAAAACAUCGUGAACAGUGCUUUAAAAAUAUAUAAUACCCACAUAGGCCGAGCAGGACGUAAAAAUGUAAUUUGAAAAACUCUCUCAGGCACACCAAAGCAACCCAGCAAUGUCGAAUGCGGGUAUUAUGUGAUGCGCUUCAUGAGGGACAUCAUCAUGGAUCCUUCCUUGGGGUUUGAGAAUAAGGUAAGAAGAAAUUACCUUCAUACAUUUCACGUCGUUUUUUGUAUUAUCAACGACGGUCAUGUAAAAUUAACGUCGUUGAAUGGAUAUACUACGUCGGUUAUGAAAAAUAUCGUCGUCUGUGAUUGAAUUUCUUUUUAUUUAUAAACCCUAAUAGUCAUUGUUUAUGCAGUAUGCCAAGGGAAACCAGGAAGCUUCAUACCCCCAAGAAGCCAUUGAUGAAGUCCGGAAUGAAUGGGCAGAGUUUGUUUUCCAAAUUAUUAAACAGGGCAAUUAUUGAACACUUGAUAUUUAUGUAUAAUGUACCAAUUUUCUCUAUAAUAUGUAAUGUAAAAAUUUGUUGAGGUUUUCUUAAAUUAAAAAAAAAACAAACAUACAAAUUGCUUAACCGACGUGUAAUACUUUUCCAACGACCUAAUAAAGUCACAAACCGUCGUAUUUUGUUGUUUCGUGUUUUAAACAAUUACGACGUAAAAAAAUAGUUAGACGACGUUCUUUGAACAAUUGAGUCGUUAAUGGUUUACAAUAUCUUCAAUUUCUUAAGGGUUCAGGGUAUAAUCGACGACGUUUAUGUAACGACUGCGGUUAAGUCGUAAAAUAUAUAUUUUACGUCGUAUAGUUAAAUAGCCGCCAUGGUUUUUCAUUUUAACGACGUCAUUUUAACGACUUAGUAGUCUAUUACAAUUUACAACGUCUACAAUUUAUUAACACCGACGUGGUUUGUUGUUGUGGUAAGAAUAUUUUAUUAUUUUUAUAUCAAAAUAUUCAAAAUAAAUUUAAAAUAAAUCAGAAAAUUGAAAAGUCAACUCCUAUGAAGUCAUUGAUAUAUUUUCUUCCACAUAAACCUUGAAAAAAUUCAUUUUGAAUAACAAAAAUUUAAAAUGACCAUCCAAAACAAAAUUGUUUUGAUGACUCAUAAAAUCACUUCUAGUUUUAUGGUUUAGGGUUUAGAGUCUAGGGUUUAGAGAUUAGGGUUGUUAUUUAUUGGGGUUUAUUUUUAAAGUAUAAUUUUUGGGUAGUCUAGGGUAUAUGUUAGGCUUUAAAACCAUAAAACCUUUUAUAAACUUAAUUUUUUAAAUUGUAUAAUUUAAUUUUAUGGGUUUAGGGUAUUAAUUUUUAACGACGGUGGUUGGGUCGUGGAAUACAUAUUUUACGUCGUACAGUAAAACAUACGACAUGGUUUACGCUUUAAACGACGUCAUUUUAAUAUGUAAGUCGGUUUAUAUAAUUUACAACGUCAACGUCUUUAAUUUCUUAACACCGACGUGGUUUUUCAGUCGUCGUUAUAUAAAAAAUUCAAAAUAAAUUUAAAAUUAAUCCGAAAAAUGAACGGCCUUACGUUCUUAAUCCGAAAAAUGAAGUUUCCGUCGUGGAAUAUUAAAUUUACGUCGGUACUUGUAGAACUUUCGCCUUGGUUUUUCUUUCGACGUUUUAAAACGCGCGCGCUCUAAAAAUUUUCGCGCGACCUAAACUUUUUUAGAUUUGGCUCUUAUUCUUAUACUUCGAACCCUGAAACCUAAAANNNNNNNNNNNNNNNNNNNNNNNNNNNNNNNNNNNNNNNNNNNNNNNNNNNNNNNNNNNNNNNNNNNNNNNNNNNNNNNNNNNNNNNNNNNNNNNNNNNNNNNNNNNNNNNNNNNNNNNNNNNNNNNNNNNNNNNNNNNNNNNNNNNNNNNNNNNNNNNNNNNNNNNNNNNNNNNNNNNNNNNNNNNNNNNNNNNNNNNNNNNNNNNNNNNNNNNNNNNNNNNNNNNNNNNNNNNNNNNNNNNNNNNNNNNNNNNNNNNNNNNNNNNNNNNNNNNNNNNNNNNNNNNNNNNNNNNNNNNNNNNNNNNNNNNNNNNNNNNNNNNNNNNNNNNNNNNNNNNNNNNNNNNNNNNNNNNNNNNNNNNNNNNNNNNNNNNNNNNNNNNNNNNNNNNNNNNNNNNNNNNNNNNNNNNNNNNNNNNNNNNNNNNNNNNNNNNNNNNNNNNNNNNNNNNNNNNNNNNNNNNNNNNNNNNNNNNNNNNNNNNNNNNNNNNNNNNNNNNNNNNNNNNNNNNNNNNNNNNNNNNNNNNNNNNNNNNNNNNNNNNNNNNNNNNNNNNNNNNNNNNNNNNNNNNNNNNNNNNNNNNNNNNNNNNNNNNNNNNNNNCUGUUUUUGUUUAAAACCCGUCGUCUCAUGUUGUUUAUACCUUGCGAUUAGAUCAUGUAUAAUCUGCUAUAGUGAUGGUCAUGCCUGUAUUUUCACUUUUAUAUAGAUAAUAGGUUAUAGUGUCGGAGAUGGAUAAGUCAUGGAUGCACUCGGAUAGAAGAUCGAAGGCAUAUGAGUUUGGGGUGGAAGCAUUUUUGAACUUUGCUGUAGAAAAUCUUCUAACUACAACACAUAUCCGUUGUCCAUGUGUUAAAUGUGUUAAUUUGAAGUUGUUUGGGGUUGGAAUUAUAAGGGAUCACUUAUACUUUAAUGGAAUUGACCAAAGCUAUAAGAAUUGGACAUUUCACGGAGAACCUUGGGAAGCAACUACUAAUGCUAGCAGAAAUGUUGAAGAAGAUGAUGGCCAUAGUAGGUACAGUUUUGUGUCUGAAGAAAUUGAUAUGGAUGAUAAUGAUUUUGGUGAUUUUGGUUCGGAUCCGUAUGAGUUUGCCAAUGUGAUUGGGGAUGGAGAUCAACCAGUGUACCCUGGUUGUAGAAAGUACACGAAGUUAUCGGCAUUAGUGAAGUUGUAUAAUUUGAAGGCAAAACAUGGGAUGAGUGAUGUCUGUUUUACAGAAUUAUUGAUACUUCAAGGCGAUUUGCUUCCAGAAGGAAAUACAAUACCAACCUCCAUGUAUGAGGCUAAAAAGACUUUGUGUGCAUUGGGGCUGAGUUAUGAGAAAAUGCACGCAUGCCCCAAUGAUUGCAUCUUGUAUAGGAAGGAGUAUGAGGAUUCAACUAAUUGUCCUACUUGUGGUAUCUCAAGGUGGAAGGAAGGCAAAGAUGCAAUCUUGAAAGAGGGUGUGCCAGCGAAGGUGGUGUGGUAUUUUCCCCCAAUUCCAAGGUUUAAAAGGAUGUUUCAAUCACAUGAGACAGCUAAGAGUUUGACUUGGUGGCAUGUUGCUAGAAAAUCAAUUGACGGUCAGAUGUCUCAUCCGGCGGAUUCCCCGUCUUGGAAACUUCUUGAUGAUAAAUGGCCUGAGUUUGGUAAUGAGCCGAGAAACUUGAGAUUGGCUCUUUCAUCUGAUGGAUUCAAUCCCCACAGUUCUCUAAGUAGCAGAUAUAGUUGUUGGCCGGUUAUCUUAGUUACAUAUAAUCUCCCUCCAUGGCUGUGCAUGAAACGAAAGUUCAUGAUGUUAACCUUAUUGAUUUCCGAUCCUAAACAACCCGGAAAUGAUAUAGACGUCUACUUGGAGCCUUUGAUUGAUGAUUUAAAAUCCUUGUGGGUUGGGAUUAGAGGAGUGUAUGAUGCACAUAAUGGAGAAUACUUUACACUCAGAGCUGCAUUAAUGUGGACAAUUAAUGAUUUCCCCGCCUAUGGAAACUUAUCUGGUUGUGUUGUUAAAGGAUAUAAAGCUUGUCCAAUAUGCGGCGAUGAUACACCUAGUCAAACAAAUAUUUUUUGUUGACGACCCGAUGCAUCGUGGUUGGUCGUGUAGGCGUGUGAGUGUGUGUUUGUGUUUGUUUUUGUGUGUGUGUGUGUGUGUGUGUGUGGUGUGUGUGUGUGUGUGUGUACCAUUACUNNNNNNNNNNNNNNNNNNNNNNNNNNNNNNNNNNNNNNNNNNNNNNNNNNNNNNNNNNNNNNNNNNNNNNNNNNNNNNNNNNNNNNNNNNNNNNNNNNNNAUGUAAUUGGCAGUGUAUGACAUUAAUUUUGUAAUAUAUUGUAAUGUGAUUUCUUCACUUUCUACGUUCAAAUAAAACACGACGUUAUUGUGAAUCAGUUAUUCAGCAUAUUUACCGACGUCUUAAAGCAACGUAACAAUGAAGAACCACGACGCUAUUGUGAAGCAAUUAUUCAGGAUAUCACGUCGGUGAAGGAUAAAGAACCGCCAUGUAAUUCAAAAUAACACGACUCCAAUCCCAUAAUACCGACGUCUAAAAAACGAGAUAUGUAAUCUGAACGUUAAAAAAUACGACGUCAUCAUACAUUUUCCACGUCGCAAGUUCUUUUAUAAACGAAGAGGAACGAAAUUAAUUCCGACGGAAAUUCAUUAUAACCGCCGUCUAAUAACAAUUAAACGACGUUAUUUGUAAUACGGCUCCCAUCAUAAUCUACGCCGUCUAUAUGUUCUGUAAUACGGCUCUCAUUUAUUUGGAACCGACGUUGUUUAGACGUUCAACGUCGUCUAUAUUAUUAAGUGCGUCGUGAGUAAUGAAUACAUAUAAAUACAACGUCGACUAUAUAAAUGUAUACGUCGUAAAUAAUGACACUGACAACUAUUUCCACGUCAUCUUUUUUAGAUAAAAUCGAAGUGGAAAAUUUAUUUCACGACGGUUUUUUGUAAAUAAGAGACGUUGUAGAACUUUAGCAGACUAAACACGUCUGUUUUUAUUGUUUUCCGACGUUGUUGUAUUUAACAACGUCUAAUAUUUAUGGUCGUUGUUUGUUUCUGAAAAUAGGACGUAUAAAUUUUUUAAUACGACUCUCAUAUAUUUGUAACUGACGUUGUUUAGUUUUUCAACGUCUACUAUAGAAACACAUACGUCGUAAAUAAUGACACUGACAACUAUUUCCACGUCAUCUUUUAUCAAAAAAUCGAAGUGGAAAAUUAAUUGUACGACGGUUGUGUUUAUAUGUGCGACGUAGUAGGUAUCAAUAACAUCGUCUUCUAAUGUAUUUAAAGACGUCAUAUUUUUUAUUGUCGUGAAAAUUAUAUUUAACGUCGGCGUAUUUUUAUUGUCGUCGUUGUAUGUCUAUCUUGCGGCCUUGUUCUCUUAAUAUGUGUCAUAUUUUCCCUUUUUAACGACGGUCUUUUUAGAGAAUUGGUCGUCUAUUAUCAUCAUCGAUUGCUUUUUUUAGAUCUUUUUGCAGUACAAAGACGUCGUUUUGUAUUUUUUGAUGACGUUGUAUUGUUUAACAACGACGGUUAUUUAGCGUCGUGGUUUAUGAGGGAAAAGAUGACGGUGGAUUCCACGACCAUUGAAAAACCAAAUACACGACGGUGAUUUACCGUCGUCUUUUUGCUUUUUUGUAGUAGUGAUCGGAAACUUGACUAAUUAGAAUACAACAUAUGUCGAAAUAUUUUUAUCAUAAAUGGUCUCUAAGGUUCGUGAAAUUAUUAGCUUUAGUCCUUCAUGUUUUUUUGUGACAUCAUUGGUCCUUUAUGUUACUCCUCUUCACACAUCAAUUUGGUUCUGCCGUUUGGAUUCGUCAAAAUUUAUGUUAAAUUGAUGGCAUGACAUGUAUAUGGUGCCUACAUAUCCAAUGAGAUAAUGACCCGUGGAUCUAAGUAAAAAAUUUGUUUUAAAAAAAUAGUUUCAUAUUUAAAAUUUUUAAAGGGCGAAGACUCAUUGGGUAACUCGAAGUUUGGGUUGUUGAAGCCUUCAAGCAUGGUUUUGCUCACAAAAGAUUGGAACGCAAUGUGUUGGGUUGAGCACUGAAAACCAAAGAAUAUCAAAAAUGUAGUAGGGGGGAGAGAGAGAGAGAGANNNNNNNNNNNNNNNNNNNNNNNNNNNNNNNNNNNNNNNNNNNNNNNNNNNNNNNNNNNNNNNNNNNNNNNNNNNNNNNNNNNNNNNNNNNNNNNNNNNNACCUCAUGUCAGCACUUAAUAGAAAAUUUGACGGACCCUAACGGCAUGGAUCAAAUUGAUGUGUGGUGUGUAACAAAAAGGAUCAAUAAUGUCACAAAAAACAUAAAGGACCAAAGUUGAUAAUUUUGCGAACCUUAUACACCAUUUAUGAUAAAAACCCUAUAUUGUAUAAUUUUAGUGUGUUUUUUUCUUAAAUGCUAUUGAGAAGAGAUUUUAUAAAACUGCUAUAUAAAAGGUUCACCACAAUGCUAUAAAACAAUAGUAGAUUAUGGCUCUCAGAUGUUUUCAUCUUCUUAUUCAUCCAAGCAGAUCGAUAACAUAUGGUCACUACUGACUUUUUCUUGUAGUUCUCAACAUCCAUCUUUCAAGCCAUCAACCAAGUUGUUGCAUUGCUCCUCACUGUUAGAAAAGCCUCGUUUCCCUCCUCCUCCUCCAUUGAUUGAAGGAGAGACAACAAAAGCAACUUAUGAAACAAGCCCCUCAUUUCCUUGUUAAACAUAAAUCGACCCAUUAUUGAUGAGGACUGAGAAUCUAAGAGCACACUAGUAAUUAACCUGAGUGGGGAAUAUGGAUGAUGGAUCUCUCUCUCUCUCUCUCUCUCUUGAAAAAAUCAACUUCAUUAUCCUUGGUGAAUUUGUUCUGAAUUAGUCGUGUCCAGCUACAAGCAAUACUGUACGUAGUAUAUUAUUCUCUGCAUUUGUGCAUGCCAACAACAAACAAAUAUUAUUCUCUAUUAUAGCAUAUAGGCCGUCAUUUUCAAUCCUUAUAAGAGAAAACUUGCUUCGCCAUAAGAGUACGUAGCUUGGCAAGCAAGGUAAGGGUACUUCAAAAGAUUCCUUCCAUCAUCUAUAUAAGACACAUGUGACAUUGCAUGUCUCAUCAAUCAUGUUAAGAUAAAGCUAGCUGGCAAGGCAAAUUACCAACCUUUAUGCUCGAGUAUAUUAUUCCAAGCAGAUAUAAAUGUUAAUAUAUGUGAAGAAUAUUAUGAUCAAUAUAGAAUAUGUAUCAUGAUCAGUUAUGGUAUCGACUGUCAGAAAAUAUCAUCCGCAUAUGUGCAUACCAACAUUAUCGAAAGACAGUAGGAGUAUCGUCAUAUCCGAUACAAGUAUCGGAGCAUGGGUAAGAGUAUAUAUACAAGCAUACCCGUCCAAUUAGGAGAAUCAGUGCAACAUAGAUGAAAAGAAAUUAGAUGUGAUUUCACAUAUUUUUAAAGAAUAGGGGAAAUAAACCAAUUAAUCUCUUUUGUCUUCUCCAUACAUUUUUGGUUGUGAAUUUUGGUUUUCGAAGAAUUUGGCAUUUCAAGCAACUUGGAAAACAUUUUGAUGAUCCAUUGAACCUUGUUAAAGUCGAUAUUCAAUCUCUAUGGACUUUGGCCGAAAUGUCUCAUUUCAAUUGGAAAGUGACAUUGAGAUUUGAAAAGACUAGACAUUAAGGUGGCAAGAGAAGUCUAAAAGGAUCAAACAGAAAAAAAUAAUGAAAAAUUGAAAAUAACCUAGAAAGGGGAGAAAAAAUUAGUUGCAAUAGGGAUAAUAAUGUUUGAGUAAUGCUAAACGAACUCUAAAAUUAACUUAGUACACCCUACUAUCAAACUAUUUAUUGAAUUACUAAUUUACCCUAAUAUAAAAUGACCAAAAAGGAUAUAUUGAAUUGUGCAGCAAAUGUAAUUUUAAUAAGUACACAUUACUCACCAUAUUCAACCCUAAUAUUCGAUGGAGGCGACAUUGAAUGCUAUGAAUCCAACCCAAACCCACCACCACCGUCCCUCUCUCUCUCUCUCUCUCUCUCUCUCUCUCUCUCUCUCUCUCUCUCACAAAUUAUCUUAUUUGCUCUAAAUUUUUUGCAAUGAGUCAGAAUCUUCUAUGUGUAUGUGGCAUUCGUUCAUUAGACUUGGUUAAUGCAUUCAACCCACCCAAAACAAUAAUCAUUUGAUGUUCAUCCUCGAUGUUGGUGGUUUCAAGUGAGCAUGUUCCCAAACGGCUCUUACACUUGCCCACUAGAACUCCAGCUCCUCACCCUCUGAUGAAUCUAAUGACAAUUAUGUUGUUGUUUGCACCAUAAACACCAACUUCCAACAACUCCAAUACAACCUAUUUCUUCUUAAUUAGAUACCUUGGGGGUUGAUAGCAACCUCAAUAGUCUAAGAAACAAACCCACUUCGGAAUUUUCCUUCUUCCACUAGUUGAAGGGAGAUGGGUUCCAACACGAUAUUACGCGCUUAUUAGAAUCUUAUACUCGUCGAGUCUGGGUUGGCUGGUGAUAAGCAGGGGAAGGGUGGAGUUGGGUUGUGUUAGAGAGAGAGAGAGAGAGAGAGAGAGAGAGAGAGAGAGAGAGAAAGAGAAAGAGAGAGAGAAGGGCGGUAGUGGUUGGGUUGGGUUGGAUGCGAAAGGGCUUAAAUCAGAGGAGGAAGGACGGGUUUGGCUGGGUGGGUGACAGGACCCGACCCAAUUUCCGCUUUGGAAUCCGAGCUGAAUCCUGUGCGUGUCCGACACCUGGCGAAUGUCGGGCACGAAUGACCUUUUUACCCUUCUCUUUUCAAAUUCUUUUUUUUUUUAAACUUCCCUUAGACUUCUACCGAAAAUUCGACAGAGUCUCCCCUGUAUUUUGACCAAACCCAAAGUCUUCCACCUGUCAAACAGUCUCAAAUAACACACCAACUACCAGACUAACUCAACCAACAGAUCUCAACUCCAGUUUCUCAUGUUCAACAAGAUAUCAAAGCAUUUCUAUACAAAUUUACAGAACUAUGAGAAAGUUACAACGAGAUCCUACACUUUGGGGGUGGGGCGAAAGCUGGGAAGAUGGCCCGAGUGGUUUCCUUCGUACUUCUAUGGCCUGGGGGCGAAAAACAAGGUUAAAAUUGUGAGUGGACAAAAAUAAAAUUCUUUAAAACAAAAACAAGUUAGAACAUAAUAACCCCCGUUUUGAAAUACUAGGGAUAUAAAUCGUUAAUUUAGCUAUAUUUCAAUAUAAGGAAUUCAAUAAACAUGAAUAAAUAUACUGACGAAUAAACUUGCAUAACUGAUCAAAUAUAUAUAAAGAUAAUAACGCAUGAAUAUCAAGAAACUGGUAUAAAAUCACGGGAAAUCAUAACUGGAUAAAAGAGCUCAAAAUCCUUUGAAACUACCACCUAGAUGUACCCCUGUCAUAUCCGUCAAUUCCCCUGGCAGGUCUCGGGCGUCACGCAGUCUACCCGAGCCGCAAACUGGCGAAAUCAAGGGACUAUGAUCAGCCUGAUCCGCCGGCAGGUCUCGAUGACACCAAGUCGACUCGAGCCGCUCUGGCAGGAUGCAGGGGACCGCAGUCAGCCUGAUCCGCAAUCCUGGCAGGUCUCGGGGACACAGAGUCAGCCGAGCCGCAAAUCCUGGCAGGUCUCGGGACACCAAGUCUGCCGAGCCGCAAAUUCUGGCACUCACGGUCCGAGCGUCCCCGAAACUCGUGAGGCAAAGUCAAGUGCACUGACGUAACUGAAAUCAGACUGGAUGUUCGUAGACAUCGGUCCGACUGUGGGUAAUCACCAUAAAUAGAUGGGUACAUGGUGGUUUAACAAGAAAUUCUGAUAACUCUCUGAAAUCUGAUAAGUCUGAACUAAAUUACUAUCUUUGUAUCAAAAGUCUCAAGUUUACUGCUCAACCAAUAUUAUAAAAAUAAAGAUAUUUCACAAUGCAAAUCAUGCUUCGAAAUUACGUAAUAACACUUAUUCAAGAUCAAAUAGAAAAUAUAAUUAUAAAAUCUUUUAGGAAAGAAAAGUCCACUCACUGUUGGUCCGAGCUAUCUGGACCCUUCGAAGAUCCCUCAUGUGGGUCAACUGGACCUCUGGUGCCUUACUCGAUUGAUUUGGUGGAGAAUUGAAGGAGAACGAAGGAGAUGAAGUUUGGAUGAAAAACAGGCGGAAAUCGCCAGUUUCCGGCCAAUUCCCGGCGGUCCAAGGCCGGCGACGGGUCGAGGAAGGGAGGCGGCGGCGAGGCGGACCGAUUGACACCAACGGCGGAGGUCGCCGUGCCCUGUAGCGACGGCACGCUCGAUCUGAAACAGGGAGGGGGGCGGCGGUUGCGACGGGAGAGAGAGAGAGAGAGGAGAGAGAAAUGAGGAGAGAGAAGAGAGAAGGAAGAGAUAAAAUCUGACUUUUUUUUCAAAUUACCGUUUUGCCCUUCGAGGUAAUUUAAUCGUAUCUUCUUCAUUACAAUUCCAAUUCGGGUCUACUCCGUGUCUACGGACUCGUUUCGCCGUGCUCUACGCAACGGCGCAAGCGAAAUUCUCAAAUUCUUUCUUGAUCAAAAAGUCAAAUUUUCCCCUAUUAAAAUAUGCGAGGGCAAAAUCGUCUUUUGGGUAGAAUAAAGAAAUCCUAAUUUUUAGAUAUUUUAGUUUGGGUUAUUACAGUGGGGGGUGGAGAGAUGAUGGGAGGUCGAUUUAACAGGGUUAAGUGUUGUUAAGUGGUUUACCACAUGUCAAAAAAAUAGAAGGAAAACAUGUCGGGCACAUGGCAUUUGGUAACAGUAAAAUUGGACUCAUGAAUGAGUUAGGUGUUGUGUGAUAGAGUGUAUUAGGGUGUACCAUGGGUAUUUUUAGUAGUUAAAUAGGAUGUACUGAGUUAAUUUUAUAAUUUGAUUUAAAUAUUAGGGUAUACUUAGAUCAUAGGGUGUACUCAGUUAAUUUUAAGGUUUGUUUAGCAACAUUCUAAUGUUUUGUUAUCCCCGGUCAAUAAUUUUAUAUCGUGUGGCUUAGAAGGAGGCCUGUUAUCCAACUCAUCUGGUCCACCGUCCAUGAUAUGAACCCGACUUGAGAAUCUUUUGGUGAAGUAGAACAACCCAACUUGAGAGUUGAGGCAGCCAAACUAGAAGGGAAGCAUCCCCACUCCAGUCCCGCUCCCCAUGUGCCCAAUACUUUGCUUGUUUACUUCACCUUUUAAACCUUUUAGGAUUUUCCAUAGGCUAAGAGGAAAACAACAACAUUACGGCCCAGUUUACGAAUGGAUUCGAGGGGAAAUUACUUCCCAUGCCAUUUUUUAAGGGAUGGAAAAUGGAGAUUCAUUUCCCAUAUUUGAUAAUCCUAGGAAAGUAACUAAGAAAUACUACUUUAUUUCCUUUCACAUAUUUGGUUUGUGUAGGAAUGUAAAACAAAGUUAGUUUAAUUUUUCAAUUAUAUCCAUAUGAAAUUAAAUUUUAAAAAAAAUGUAUUUAAUGCUAUAUUGUUAAUGGGGACAAUAUGGUCAUGAAAAAUGUGUAUUUAAUGUUGGCUAAUUUUCUCAAACUUUCUCAUGUGCAAGACAACGAUUUCUCAUGCCUAGACUUACCAAAUAUGGGAAAGCAAUUGAUUUCUCAUCACCAAGCCUCCUUUCCCAUGAACCAAACAGGACCUACAAGUUAUUAGCUUCAAGCCUUCAAGGAUUUUCAUAACAAAUCUUCCAAUCUCACACAAAAAUAAAAAAGCAUCCAUGUAUGUAAUUUCUAGAUUAAAAUCUCACUUUUUAGGCAUUCCAUUUUCUUAGGAUUAGGUAUUACUACGCACGGACAAUCUUACGAUUAUCUGCAAUUCAUCCUUCAAUAGCUAUGGACGUUAUAUCAAAUCAACAAUAAGACGUACAUUUCUUCAAAGAACUAAAUCAUGCGGAUGUCAACUUGCUCUCACUUAUAUGUUUGUCUCUCCAUAUGAGGAAGGGUGUUUAGCUUAAGGUUUUAGGGCGCGGUUGUCUAAGAACAAUAAGGUGAACAUGUUUUGUCAAAGUACAUGGGAGACCUUUAUCUUCAAACACAAAAAAUGGCCAAAAUUAAAUUAGCAAGGAUCGACAUAUGGAUGUGAGCUUUUACACAUUGCCACUAAUUCUCUCCAUACUUUUGUUGAAAUCAUUUACAAAAUAAGAAAACUUUAGUAAUUGAAGCGAAAGAGAAGAAUUACCAGAACAGAAAAUAAGAAAAAAGAAGCACCUAACCCAAACUUUAAGUCACGAAUUUAACAGUUUACUUUUUAAAAAAAGUAAGUUACAAAACAAUCCCCUUAUUGAUGAGGAUUGAGAAUUUAAGAGCACUAAUAACUUGAGUGAGGAAUAUUGCACAUGGACGAUGGAUCUCUCUCUCUCUCUUUGAAAAAAAAGAAAAAAGAAACAAAAAUCAACUUCAUUAUCCUUAGUGAAUUUGUUCUGGAUUAGUUGUGUUGCAAUGGAACAUCGAACCUACCUAGCUAAAAGGAAAAAAGAAAGGCCACUACGACAGUACUGCAGUAUAUUAUUCCAAGAAGACAAAUGUAAACUAUAUACGUGAAGAAUAUCUAUUAUUGGUCGUCAUUUUCAAUCCUCAUAAAAGAAAACUUACUUCGCCAUAAUUUCAGGUUGUUCUCAAGGCAGGAAGGUAAGGACACUUGAAAAGAUUCCUUCUCAUCAUCUAUACAAGGAAAUGUGUUCUCAUCAAGCUAGGGGACAAGGCAAAUUAGCAACCUUUAUACUCGAUAUAUUAUUCCAAGCAGAUAUACAUGUGAAGAAUAUUAUGAUCUUGAUCAAUAUGGAAUCAGUGGGUGUAUCGAUCGACCAUCCAAAGAAAAAGGAUAUCCUCUGCAUAUAUGUGUGCAUGCCAACAACUAUAAAAGGAGACCAUGAGGCAAUGAGUUGAUCAUCAAAGCAAACACACAGAUAUCCCAACUAAAAAUCAUUCAGUGAGACAAUGGCUGGAACCAAUGAUAUUAAAAUUAAAGGGUUCGAUUUGAGCAAAAACAGCGGCAACACGUCCGGAUUAACCCACUUCGCCAACAGAGCUGACGAGGGCGACAAGGGCGACAAUAAAAUCGAGGUUGAGGAUGCUAAAGCGCAAGAUAACAAGGGAAACUUGAAAGUACUGACCGACUUCGCCCAACGUGGUAAGGUGGGCCAGUCGGAUCGCCAAGAAAUCACGGGGAGCAAGCCACUUCAGACGGCAGCAUGAAAUUGAUGAAGGCCAUACCAUAAUAAAAUAUCUACACUAAAAUAAGAGCUGAUGCAGUAUCUGAGGCUCCUUCCUUGGUUAGGCCUCAUUAUCAUGUGCAAUACUAAUAUUAUUAUUCUAAUAAAAUAAUGGUAGCUUAUUAUUAAAUAUAUCAAAAUUCUAUACGUAUAACUUUUAGAUUAUUGAUACUGAUGACAUACCAACAAGAGAAAACGAUUCAAAAGUCCUUUCUCCAAUUCGUGAUGUUACAAAAUGAGACGUCAAAUUUAAAAAUAUAGUUGCAUACGAGUAUAAACUGAACCAAUAAGCAAUGUAUGAGUGACCAAAGGUCUCAAACGAUGCAUUUAAGAAGAAGGGUACUAAAUUAAAAGAUGUACGCCAGUGAACUAUGGCAAUCUCUCGUUGCAUGCACGCAUAUGCAAUUGAAGAAGACCUAACUUAUAUCACGAAGAAGUGGAUGGGUCUUUACAUAUGAAGUUUUUAAAAUUAACACUACCGGAAGACAAUAGGAGUAUCGGCGUAUCUGAUACAAGUAUCGGAGUCUCGGAGUAUUAGAUUUGAGCAUACCUGUCCAAAUAGGAGUAUCGGUGCAACAUAGAUGAAAAGGAAUUGGAUGUGAUUUCACAUAUUUUUAAAGAACAGGGGAAAUAAACCAAUUAAUCUCUUUCGUCUUGUCCACACAUUUCUUGUUGCAAAUUUUGGUUUUCAAAAAAUUUGGCAUUUCAAGCAACUUGGAAAACAUUUUGAUGAUCCAUUAUUGAACCUCUAAAGUCGAUAUUCAAUCCCUAUCGACCUUGCUCAAAAAAUGUCUCAUUUCAAUUAGUGCAGAGAAAAAUAAAGGCAGAGUUGAAAAUAGAUUUUUCAGUUUGGAAAGUGACAUUGAGAUGUAAAAAGACUAGACAUUAAGGUGGCAAGAGAGAUCUAACAGGAUCAGACAAAAAAGGAAAAAAAAAUGAAUGAAAAAUAGAAAAUGCCCUAGAAAGGGGAGAACAACUUAGUUGCAAUGGGGAUAACAAUAUCUUGCUAUUACUGGUCAAUAAUUUUAUACCACGUGGCCUAGAAGGAGGCCUGUUAGUCCAACUCAUCUGGUCCACUUCCCAUUAUAUGAACCCGACUUGAGAGUUUUGGUUUUUUGGUUGAAGUAGAACAACCCGACUUGAGAAUUGAGGCAGCCAAACUAGAAGGGAAGCAGCCCACUCCACUCCCGCUCCCCAUGUGCCCAGUACUUCGCUUGUUUACUUCACCUUUUAAACCUUUUAGGAUUUUUUUUAUAGGAUAAGAGGAAAACGACGACAUUACAAGUUAUUACGCAUCAACGUAUGUAAUUUCUAGAUUAAAAUCUCACUUUUUACGCAUGUCAUUAUCUUAGGAUUAUGUAUUACUACGCACUGACAAUCUUACGAUUAUCUGCAAUUCAUCCUUCAAUGACCAAAGACGUUAUAUCAAAUCAACAAUAAGACAUACAUUUCUCCAAAUAACUAAAUUAUGUGGAUUUCAACUUGCUCUCAUUUAUAUGUUUGUCUCUCUCCUCCUAUUGAUUAGCCUCUCCAUAAGAGCAAAUAUGAAAAAAGAAGCUCCCAAUCCGAACUUUAAGUCACAAGUUUAACAGUUUACUUUUAAACAAAAGCAAGUUACGAAACAAUCCCCUGAUUUCCUUGUUAAACAUCAACCGACCCAUUAUUGAUGAGGAUUGAGAAUCUAAGAGCAUAUGGACGAUGGAUCUCUCUCUCUUUUUGAAAACAAAAACAAAAACAAAAAACAAAAAUCAACUUCAUUAUCCUUGGUGAAUUUGUUCUGGAUUAGUUGUUUUGAAUUAGUACAGCUUACGUACGCAAUGGAACAUCGAACUUAGCUAGCUAAAAGGAAAAAAGAAAGGCCACUACUACAGUACCGCAGUAUAUUAUUCCAAGAAGACAAAUGUAAACUAUAUACGUGAAGAAUCUCUAGUAUUGGUCGUCAUUUUCAAUCCUUAUAAAAGAAAGCUUGCUUCGCCAUAAUUUCAGGUUGUUCUCAAGGCAGGCAGAGAGAGUACGUAGCUUGGCAAGAAAGGUAAGGGCACUUCAAAAGAUUGUUUCUCAUCAUCUAUAUGAGGAAAUGUGUUGCCAUCAAGCUAGCGGACAAGGCAAAUUAGCAACCUUUAUACUCGAUAUAUUAUUCCAAGCAGAUAUACAUGUAAAUAUAUGUGAAGAAUAUUAUGAUCAUGAUCAAUAUAGAAUCUGUAUCAUGAUCAGAGGGUAUCGAUCCAGCAUCCAAAGAAAAAGGAUAUACUCUGCAUAUGUGCAUGCCAACAACUAUAAAAGGAGACCAUGAGGCAAUGAGUCGAUCAUCAACGGAAACACACAGAUAUCCCAACUAAAAAUCCAUCGUGAGACAAUGGCUGGAACCAAUGAUAUUAAAAUUAAGGGGUUUGAUUUGAGCAACAACAAAGGCAACACGUCGGGAUUAACCCACUUCGCCAACAGAGCUGACGGGGGCGACAAUGGCAACAAUAAAAUCGAGGUUGAGGAUGCUAAAGGGCAAGGGAACACGGGAAACUUGAAAGUACUGACCGACUUCGCCCAACGCGGUAAAGUGGGCCAGUCGGAUCGCCAAGAACUACUCAAACCUCAGGCAUGAAAUUGAAGAAGGCCAGACCACAACAACUUGUCUGCUUGAUAGAUAUAUGUGCUAAAUUAUCUACACAAAAAUAAGAGCUGAUGUUUUAUCUGAGGCUCCUUCCUUGGUUAGGCCUCGUUAUCAUGUGUAAUAUUAAUAUUAUUAUUCUAAUAAAAUAAUGGUAGCUUAUUAUUAAAUAUAUCAAAAUUCUAUACGUAUAACUUUUAGAUUAUUGAUACUGAUGUCAACAAGAGAAAAUGAUUAAAAAGUCCUUUCUCCAAUUCGUGAUGUUACAAAAUGAGACUUCAAAUUUUAAAACUAUAGUUGCAUACGAGUACAAAACUGAACCAAACAAUGUAUGGGCCAGAGUGACCAAGGAUGUACGCCAGUGAACUAAUGGCAAUCUCUCGUUGCAUGCACGCAUAUGCAAUUGAAGGAGGCAUUAUCUGAGGCUCCUUCCUUGGCUAGGCCUCAUUUUCAAUUUUGAUUUCAACUUUGAUUUUGCUUAAACUUUGAUUUUGAGCUAGACUGUGAUUUCGACUUUGAUCUCCCAAUUCGUGCCUUAAGAAUCAGUUUCUCCCAACUCUAUUUACCAAAACCGAAAACUCUGAACUUUUCAAUUCGUCUGGCUACUCUCAGGGUUUCAUGCCUUAGUUUCCUCUCGCCAAAAAGCCAAAAAGACUUGGCUUUCAUGUAAUGCUAUACUCCUCGAUUGAACAAGCCGCGUCUUCAAAUUCAGCUUUCUCACUUCCUUUCUCUUUACUUUCUUUCUUUUGUUUUCCGGCUGGGAAAAUCAUGGAAGCAUUACAAAUUUAAGAGAAUAUUCUAGUAUUAGGGUCCAAACUGUACUAUUUAGGUAUUUUCAUUCUGAUUAAGAGUUCUUUUCUAGAAAUUUGGGGAAGAAAAAAUAGAGUUUCUGUUUUAGUGUUUGAUUUUCAUUACAGUGAAUUAUGUGAAACCGAAAUGUUUCUUGUCUGAUUUCAUCACUGCUUUCAAAUUGCAAAUUAAGGAUUUGAAGGUUAACAAUGCCCGUCUUUAACAAUGUCGCAUUUCAAUUAGUACAAAAGAAAAAUAAAGGCAUAGUUGAAAAUAGAUUUUUCAGUUUCGAAAGUGACAUUGAGAUUUAAAAAGACUAGACAUUAAGAUGGCAAGAGAGAUCUAAAAGGAUCAAACAAAAAAAGUGAAUGAAAAAUUGAAAAUGCCCUAGAAAGGGAGGAAAUCUUAGUUGCAAUGGGGAUAACAAUGUUUUGCUAUCCUCGAACAAUAAUUUUACACCACGUGACCUAGAAGGAGGCAUGUUAAUCUAACUCAUCUGGUCCACCGUCCAUGAUAUGAACCCGACUUGUGAGUUUUUUUUUUUUUUUGUUGAAGUAGAACAACCAAACUUGAGAGUUGAUGUCACAUCUCAGGAUCGGCUUCACCGUAGCACGAUAUUGUCUGCUUUGGGCCCCCUCGCUGUCCUCGCGGUUUUGUUUCUAGGAGCUCACGAGCAACUUCUCAGUUGGUCACUCAUCUUAGGAUUGCUCUGGCCCAAACUCACUUAACUUCGGAGUUCUCAUGACUCCGAAGCUAGUGAGCUCCUAAAAGGCCUCGUACUAAAUGGAAGUGGGCAUAUAUAUAUAAGGCACAACACCCCAUCUUCGUUGGUUGAUGUGGAAUGUUACAAUCCACCCCCCUUAGAGGUCUGACUUCCUCGUCGGCACACUCUCACCACACGGCAGAGUGGCUCUGAUACCAAACUGUCACAUCCCGGGAACGGCUCCGUCGUAGCACGAUAUUGUCCGCAUUGGGCCAACCUUUCUGCCCUCACGGUUUUGUUACUGGGAGCUCACGAGCAACUUCCCAGUGAAUCACUCAUCCUGGGAUUGCUCUAGCCCAAACUCGCUUCACUUCGGAGUUCCUAUGACUCCGAAGCCAAUUAGCUCCCAAAAGACCUCGUGCUAGAUAAAGGUGGGCACGUACAUAUAAGGCACAUCACCUUCUCUUCGUUGAUCGAUGUGGGAUGUUACAGUUGAGGGCUCCGUUGGUCGAUGUAGGAUGUUACAGUUGAGGCAGCCAAACUAGAAGGGAAGCAACCCAACUCCACUCCCUCUCCCCAUGUGCCCAGUUCUCUGCUCGUUUACUUCACCUUUUAAACAUUUUAGGAUUUUCCAUAAGCAAAGAGGAGAACGACCACAUUACGGUCUCGUUUGGUUCACGAACAGAUUUAAGGGGAAAUAACUUCUCAUGUCAUUUCUCAAGGGAUGAGAAAUGGAGAUUCAUUUCCCAUAUUUGGUAAUCCUAGGAAAAUAACAAAGAAAUACCACUUUAUUUCCUUUCACAUGUUUGGUUUGUCUAGGAAUGUAAAACAAAGUUUGUUUAAUUUUCCAAUUAUACCGAUAUGAAAUCAAAUAAAAAAAGAAUAUUUAAUGUUAUAUUGUAAUUCUAAACUGUUAAUAGGGACAAUAUGAUCAUGAAAAAUGUGUAUUUAAUGUUGGCUCAUUUGCUUAUUUUCCCAAACUUUCACAUGAGGAGGAAAACAAAACCCAAGGGGGGAGGAUGGCUUCACUUUCCCCUCUACUUUCCCAUGUACAAGGCAACGAUUUCUCAAGUCUGGACUUACCAUACAUGGGAAAGAAAUUAAUUUCUCAUCCCCAAGUCAUUUUUCCCAUAAACCAAACGGAGCCUACAGGUUAUAAGCUUCAACCUUUAAGGAUUUUCAUAACAAAUCUUGCAAUCUCAUACCAAGGAAAUAAAAAUAAAAAAAAGGAUCCAUGCGUGUAAUUUCUAGAUUAAAAUCUCACUUUUUACGCAUGCCAUUAUCUAAGGAUUAGGUAUGACUACACACGAACAAUCUUACAAUUAUCUGCAAUUCGUCCUUCAAUGGCCAAAGACGUUAUAUCAAAUGAACAAUAAGACGUACAUUUCUUCAAAGAACUAAAUUAUGUGGAUUUCAACUUGCUCUCACUUAUAUGUUUCUCUCUCUCCUCCUAUUGUUUAGCUUAAGGUUUUAGGGCGUGGUUGUCUAAGAACAAUAAGGUAAACAUGCUUACAAAAAAAGAUGGACAGCAAGGAUGGACAUAUGCGAAUGUGAGCUUUUACACAUUGCCACUAAUUUUCUCCAUGAUUUUGUUGAAAUCAUUAACAAAAUAAGAAACUUUAGUAAUUGAAGCGAAAGAGACUAAUUAUCAGAAGAGAAAAUAUGAAAAAAGAAGCUCCCAAUCCAAACUUUAAGUCACAAGUUUAACAGUUUACUUUAAAACAAAAGCAAGUUACGAAACAAUCCCCUGAUUUCCUUGUUAAACAUCAACCGACCCAUUAUUGAUGAGGAUUGAGAAUCUAAGAGCAUAUGGACGAUGGAUCUCUCUCUCUUUUUGAAAACAAAAACAAAAACAAAAAUCAACUUCAUUAUCCUUAGUGAAUUUGUUCGGGAUUAGUUGUGUUGAAUUAGUACAGCUUACUUACGCAAUCGAAUAUCAAACCUAGCUAGCUAAAAAGAGAAAAAGAAAGGCCACAACGACAGUACUGUAGUAUACGUGAAGAAUCUUAUGAUCUAUAAUAUUCUGUAUUAUUGGCCAUCAUUUUCAAUCCUUAUUAAAGAAAACUUGCUUCGCCAUAAUUUCAAGUUGUUCUGAAGGCAGGCAUAGAGAGCACGUAGCUUGGCAAGGGAGGUAAGGGCACUUCGAAAGAUUCCUUCUCAUCAUCUAUACAAGGAAAUGUGUUCUCAUCAAGCUACGGGACAAGGCAAAUUAGCAACCUUUAUACUCAGAUAUAUUAUUCCAAGCAGAUAAACAUGUAAAUAUAUGUGAAGAAUAUUAUGAUAAUGAUCAAUAUAGAAUCUGUAACAUUAUCAGAGGGGUAUCGAUCGACCAUCCAAAGAAAAGGAUAUCCUCUGCAUAUGUGCAUGCCAACAACUAUAAAAGGAGACCAUGAGGCAAUGAAUCAUCAAAGCAAAGACACAGAUAUCCCAACUAAAAAUCAAUCAGUGAGACAAUGGCUGGAACUGGAACCAAUGAUAUUAAAAUUAAAGGGUUCGAUUUGAGCAACAACAGCGGCAACACGUCGGGAUUAACCCACUUCGCCAACAGAGCUGAUGGGGGCGACAAGGGCGACAAUAAAAUCGAGGUUGAGGGUGCUAAAGCGCAAGAUAACAAGGGAAACUUGAAAGUACUUACCGAUUUCGCCCAACGCGGUGAAGUGGGCAGGUCGGAUCGCCAAGAACUUCUCAAGCCUCAGGCAUGAAAUUGAAGAAGGCCAUACCAUAUAUGUGCUGAAUUAUCUACACAAAAAUAAGAGCUGAUGUUUUAUCUGAGGCUCCUUCCUUGGUUAGGCCUCGUUAUCAUGUGUAAUAUUAAUAUUAUUAUUCUAAUAAAAUAAUGGCAGCUUAUUAUUAAAUAUAUCAAAAUUCUAUACGUAUAACUUUUAGAUUCUUGAGUGGGAAACCCUAGCUGCAUUCUGGUCCCUUUUCUUCUUGCCGACAACCAACCACAAGGAAACUAAAGGGGGAGGUGGCCACUGCCCCUCCCCCCCUUCGCCCAUCUUCCCUUUCUCUCCUCAUCUUCCCUUCUUUUUCUCCCAUCUUUUCCCUUCCUCUUAUGCCCUCUUCUCUUCCCAUUCCCUUUCCCAUAUAGUCUAGAUCUAUUUGGAUCUAGGUUUUGUUUGUUUGUUUGUUUGGUUUGGUUUGGUUGUUUUUGCAGUAUUCUAGGUGACUGGUAGUGACGUUGGAUUGUGUCUAUUAUCGGGAGAGUUGUGAUACCUAGUGGCUGAUGUUUUGUCUCUGUUUCAACGACGGCGGCAGUAGCGACACUAGUGAUAGUUAUUGGAUGUGGUGCUCUUCUUUAUUCUGCACUUACCGAAGAACUAUGCUUGGUCAUAGGAGGUUUUCUUUGUCAGAUUCUGAGUUGAAGUGGAGUGCUUCUUAGGGGUCCUUUUAUUGUUGCUUCUAUGUUCCUCCUCUGUGUUCUCUCCUGUUUUCUGUUAUGGUAUGCCUUGUAGUUUGUAUGGGUGUCAAAAUACUAUGAUUUUGCUCAUAGAAGGCUUCUUUUGACAGUUGGGAUAUUCUACGAUCCUCUUCUGUGGGUUUACUAUUUGGGGUUUCUGUCGUUCUCUCAUGUGGGUGUACUAUGUUGGUAUCUAGUUGAGGUUUUCGUCGGAGUUCUUUUUGUUAGUUUUCGUUUUUGAUUUGUUCUUUUAUUGUAAUGGUCCAAAGCGACCAGAAUUAAACUCUCUUGUUAGUCCAUGACAUGUGUGGUACUCUUUUCUCCCCGGGGUUUGUCCCUUGAGAUUGCCCUAGGAAGGUUUUAACGAGGCCACUAUAUCAUGUUGCUCAUUGUACGUCUUUGGUUCUAUUAAUUAAUUCUCUUUCUUAAAAAUAACAAAAAUAAAUAAAUAAAUAAAUAAAAAUUUAGAUUAUUGAUAACGAUGUCAACAAGAGAAAAUGAUUAAAAAGUCCUUUCUCCAAUUCGUGAUGUUACAAAAUGAGACUUCAAAUUGUAAAACUAUAGUUGGAUACGAGUAUAAAACUGAACCAGGCAAUGUAUGGGCCAGAGUGACCAAGGUUGUACGACAGUGAACUAAUGGCAAUUUCUCGUUGCAUGCACGCAUAUGCAAUUGAAGAAUGCCAUAAUAAUAUGUGUUUUUACUAAAUUAUCUACACUAAAAUAAAAACUGAGGCAUUAUCUGAGGCUCUUUCCUUGGCUAGGCCUCAUUUUCAAUUUUGAUUUCAACUUUGAUUUCGCUUAAACUUUGAUUUUGAGCUAGACUGUAAUUUCGACUUUGAUUCUGAUUCUCUCCCAAUUCAUGCCUUAAGAAUCAGUUUCUCCCAACUCUAUUUACCAAAACCAAAAACUCUAAACUUUUCAAUUCGUCUGGGUACUCUCAGAGUUUCAUGCCCUAGUUUCCUCUCGCCAAAAAGCCAAAAAGACUUGGCUUUCAUGUAAUGCUAUACUCCUCGAUUGAACAAGCUGCGUCUUCAAAUUCAACUUUCUCACUUCCCUUCUCUUUACUUUCUUUUCUUUUGUUUUCCAGCCCGGAAAAUCAUGGAAGCAUUACAAAUUUAAGAGAAUAUUCUAGUAUUAGGGUCCAAACUGUACUAUUUAGGUAUUUUCAUUCUGAUUAAGAGUUCUUUUCUAGAAAUUUGGUGAAGAAAAAAUAGAGUUUCUGUUUUAGUGUUUGAUUUUCAUUAUAGUGAGUUAUGUGAAAUCGAAAUGUUUCUUGUGUGAUUUCAUCACUGCUUUCAAAUUGCAAAUUAAGGAUUUGAAGGUUACAAAUUAUUAUGUAGAUAAUUUUUGGGAAUUUAAGAGGCAGUACAGUGUUUGUAUAAGUCUUGAGAUAGACCAAUUUACCACAUGCUCGAUUUCUAUAUAUAAAUUUUUUUAAAUCAUUCUUUUGUUUUAUUUAUUCUGUUAAUUUGUCAUAAUGUGUAAUAUGAUAGCUUCUAAUUCUUUCUUCCUAUUUCUUCUUUUUUGUUAUUCUCUCCCAAAUGAAAUGAAGACCUAACUUAUAUCAAGAAGAAGAGGAUGGAUCCUUACAUAUGAAGAUUUUAAAAUUAACAUUAUUGGAAGACAGUAGGAGUAUCGGCAAUUUGAUACAAGUAUCGGAGUAUCAAAUACGAGCAUGCCCGUCUUUAACAAUGUCUCAUUUCAAUUAGUACAAAAGAAAAAUAAAGGCAGAGUUCAAAAUAGAUUGUUCAGUUUCGAAAGUGACAUUGAGAUUUAAAAAGACUAGACAUUAAGAUGGCAAGAGAGAUCUAAAAGGAUCAAACAAAAAAAAUGAAUGAAAAAUUGAAAAUGCCCUAGAAAGGGAGGAAAUCUUAGUUGCAAUGGGGAUAACAGUAUUUUGCUAUCCUCGAUCAAUAAUUUUAUACCACGUGACCUAAGGAGGCAUGUCAAUCUAGCUCAUCUGGUCCACCGUCCAUGAUAUGAACUCGACUUGAGAGUUUUUUUUUUUUUUUUUUUUUUUUUUUGGGGUUGAAGUAGAACAACUAGACUUGAGAGUUGAUGUCACAUCUCAAGGUCGGUUCCACCGUAGCACGAUAUUGUCUGCUUUGGGCCCCCUCUUUGUCCUCGCGGUUUUGUUUUUAGGAGCUCACGAGCAACUUCCCAGUUGGUCACCCAUCUUGGGAUUGCUCUAGCCCAAACUCACUUAACUUCGGAGUUCUCAUGACUUCGAAAUCAGUGAGCUCCCAAAAGGCCUCGUGCUAAAAGGAGGUGGGCAUAUACAUAUAAGGCGCAACACCCCCUCUCCGUUAGUCGAUGUGGAAUGUUACAAUCCACCCCCUUUAGAGGUCCGACGUCCUCGUCGGCACAGUCUCACCACACGGCAGAGUGGCUCUAUGCCAAAUUGUCGCAUUCCGGGAUCGGCUCCGUCGUAACACGAUAUUGUCCGCGUUGGGUCAACCUCUCUGCCCUCACGAUUUUGUUUCUGGGAGCUUACGAGCAACUUCCCAGUAGAUCACUCAUCCAAACUCGCUUAACUUCGGAGUUCCCAUGACUCCGAAGCCAGUGAGCUCCCAAAAGACCUCGUGCUAAAUGGAGGUAGGCAUGUACAUAUAAGGCACAUCACCUCCGCUCCGUUGGUCGAUGUGGGAUGUUACAGUUGAGGGCUCCGUUGGUCGAUGUACGAUGUUACAGUUGAGGGCUCCGUUGGUCGAUGUAGGAUGUUAUAGUUGAGGCAGCCAAAAUAGAAGGGAAGCAACCCUACUCCACUCCCUCUCCCCAUGUGCCCAGUUCUCUACUCGUUUACUUCACCUUUUAAACCCCUUCGUACUUGAAGACCUGGCUGGCAAUUUGAUUGAAGCGAAAGAGACUAAUUAUCCAUGCUUUUGUUGAAAUCAUUAACAAAAUAAGAAACUUUAGUAAUUGAAGCGAAAGAGACUAAUUAUCAAAACAGAAAAUAUGAAAAAAGAAGCUCCCAAUCCGAACUUUAAGUCACAAGUUUAACAGUUUACUUUAAAACAAAAGCAAGUUACGAAACAAUCCCCUUAUUUACUUGUUAAACAUCAACCGACCCAUUAUUGAUGAGGAUUGAGAAUCUAAGAGCACAUGGACGAUGGAUCUCUCUCCCUUUUUGAAAACAAAAACAAAAACCAACUUCAUUAUCCUUAGUGAAUUUGUUCUGGAUUAGUUGUGUUGCAAUGGAACAUCGAACCUACCUAGCUAAAAGGAAAAAAGAAAGGCCACUACGACAGUACUGCAGUAUAUUAUUCCAAGAAGACAAAUGUAGACUAUAUACGUGAAGAAUAUCUAGUAUUGGUCGUCAUUUUCAAUCCUCAUAAAAGAAAACUUACUUCGCCAUAAUUUCAGGUUGUUCUCAAGGCAGGAAGGUAAGGACACUUGAAAAGAUUCCUUCUCAUCAUCUAUAUAAGGAAAUGUGUUCUCAUCAAGCUAGGGGACAAGGCAAAUUAGCAACCUUUAUACUCGAUAUAUUAUUCCAAGCAGAUAUACAUGUGAAGAAUAUUAUGAUCUUGAUCAAUAUGGAAUCUGUAUCAUGAUCAGUGGAUGUAUCGAUCGACCAUCCAAAGAAAAAGGAUAUCCUCUGCAUAUAUGUGUGCAUGCCAACAACUAUAAAAGGAGACCAUGAGGCAAUGAGUUGAUCAUCAAAGCAAACACACAGAAAUCCCAACUAAAAAUCAAUCAGUGAGACAAUGGCUGGAACUGGAACCAAUGAUAUUAAAAUUAAAGGGUUCGAUGUGAGCAACAACAGCGGCAACACGUCGGGAUUAACCCACUUCGCCAACAGAGCUGCCGAGGGCGACAAGGGCGACAAUAAAAUCGAGGUUGAGGAUGCUAAAGGGCAAGGGAACACGGGAAACUUGAAAGUACUGACCGACUUCGCCCAACGCGGUAAAGUGGGCCAGUCGGAUCGCCAAGAACUUGUCAAACCUCAGGCAUGAAAUUGAAGAAGGCCAUACCAUAACCACUUGUCUGCUUGAUAGAUAUAUGUGCUAAAUUAUCUACACAAAAAUAAGAGCUGAUGUUUUAUCUGAGGCUCCUUCCUUGGUUAGGCCUCGUUAUCAUGUGUAAUAUUAAUAUUAUUAUUCUAAUAAAAUAAUGGUAGCUUAUUAUUAAAUAUACCCAAAUACUAUACGUAUAACUUUUAGAUUAUUGAUACUGGUGUCAACAAGAGAAAAUGAUUAAAAAGUCCUUUCUCGCAUUCGUGAUGUUAGAA
rnacentral:lncRNA from 1 species